CCUACGGGAGGCUGCAGUGGGGAAUAUUGGACAAUGGGGGGAACCCUGAUCCAGCCAUGCCGCGUGUGUGAAGAAGGCCCUCGGGUUGUAAAGCACUUUCAGUGAGGAAGAACGCCUGGUGGUUAAUACCCAUCAGGAAAGACAUCACUCACAGAAGAAGCACCGGCUAACUCCGUGCCAGCAGCCGCGGUAAUACGGAGGGUGCGAGCGUUAAUCGGAAUUACUGGGCGUAAAGCGCGCGUAGGUGGCUUGAUAAGCCGGUUGUGAAAGCCCCGGGCUCAACCUGGGAACGGCAUCCGGAACUGUCAAGCUAGAGUGCAUGAGAGGAAGGUAGAAUUCCCGGUGUAGCGGUGAAAUGCGUAGAGAUCGGGAGGAAUACCAGUGGCGAAGGCGGCCUUCUGGACUGACACUGACACUGAGGUGCGAAAGCGUGGGUAGCAAACAGGAUUAGAUACCCGAGUAGUC
rnacentral:rRNA from 1 species